GGAAUAUUGGACAAUGGGCGCAAGCCUGAUCCAGCCAUGCCGCGUGAAGGAUUAAGGUCCUCUGGAUUGUAAACUUCUUUUAUAAGGGACGAAAAAAGGGAAUUCUUUCUCACUUGACGGUACCUUAUGAAUAAGCACCGGCUAACUCCGUGCCAGCAGCCGCGGUAAUACGGAGGGUGCAAGCGUUAUCCGGAUUCACUGGGUUUAAAGGGUGCGUAGGCGGGUAUUUAAGUCAGUGGUGAAAUCCUAGAGCUUAACUCUAGAACUGCCAUUGAUACUAUUUAUCUUGAAUAUUGUGGAGGUAAGCGGAAUAUGUCAUGUAGCGGUGAAAUGCUUAGAUAUGACAUAGAACACCUAUUGCGAAGGCAGCUUACUACGCAUAUAUUGACGCUGAGGCACGAAAGCGUGGGGAUCAAACA
rnacentral:rRNA from 1 species